rnacentral:tRNA from 1 species
ACCUGGCUGGUUCAACUGCAAGAGCAUGUGACUCUUGAUCUCAGGAUUGUGAGUUCAAGCCCCACGCUGGGUA